rnacentral:rRNA from 1 species
UACGGGAGGCAGCAGUGGGGAAUAUUGGACAAUGGGCGCAAGCCUGAUCCAGCCAUGCCGCGUGAGUGAUGAAGGCCUUAGGGUUGUAAAGCUCUUUCAGUAGGGAAGAUAAUGACGGUACCUACAGAAGAAGCCCCGGCUAACUUCGUGCCAGCAGCCGCGGUAA